rnacentral:rRNA from 1 species
UCCCAGACUCCUACGGGAGGCAGCAGUGGGGAAUAUUGGGCAAUGGGCGCAAGCCUGACCCAGCAACGCCGCGUGAAGGAAGAAGGCUUUCGGGUUGUAAACUUCUUUUGACAGGGAAGAGCAGAAGACGGUACCUGUCGAAUAAGCCACAGCUAACUACGUGCCAGCAGCCGCGGUAAUACGUAGGUGGCAAGCGUUGUCCGGAUUUACUGGGUGUAAAGGGCGUGUAGCCGGGCUUACAAGUCAGAUGUGAAAUCCGGGGGCUCAACCCCCGAACUGCAUUUGAAACUGUAGGUCUUGAGUAUCGGAGAGGCAGGCGGAAUUCCUAGUGUAGCGGUGAAAUGCGUAGAUAUUAGGAGGAACACCAGUGGCGAAGGCGGCCUGCUGGGCUUUUACUGACGCUGAGGCUCGAAAGUGUGGGGAGCAAACAGGAUUAGAUACCCGAGUAC